rnacentral:rRNA from 1 species
AACGUAGGUGGCAAGCGUUAUCCGGAAUUACUGGGCGUAAAGCGUGCGCAGGCGGUUGUGCAAGACCGAUGUGAAAUCCCCGGGCUUAACCUGGGAAUGGCAUUGGUGACUGCACGGCUAGAGUGUGUCAGAGGGGGGUAGAAUUCCACGUGUAGCAGUGAAAUGCGUAGAGAUGUGGAGGAAUACCGAUGGCGAAGGCAGCCCCCUGGGAUAACACUGACGCUCAUGCACGAAAGCGUGGGGAGCAAACAGG